rnacentral:rRNA from 1 species
CCUACGGGAGGCUGCAGUGGGAAUAUUGCACAAUGGGCGCAAGCCUGAUGCAGCCAUGCCGCGUGUGUGAAGACGGCCUUCGGGUUGUAAAGCACUUUCAGCGGGGAGGAAGGCGUUAAGGUUAAUAACCUUGUCGAUUGACGUUACCCGCAGAAGAAGCACAGGCUAACUCCGUGCCAGCAGCCGCGGUAAUACGGAGGGUGCAAGCGUUAAUCGGAAUUACUGGGCGUAAAGCGCACGCAGGCGGGCUGUCAAGUCGGAUGUGAAAUCCCCGGGCUCAACCUGGGAACUGCAUUCGAAACUGGCAGGCUAGAGUCUUGUAGAGGGGGGUAGAAUUCCAGGUGUAGCGGUGAAAUGCGUAGAGAUCUGGAGGAAUACCGGUGGCGAAGGCGGCCCCCUGGACAAAGACUGACGCUCAGGUGCGAAAGCGUGGGGAGCAAACAGGAUUAAUACCCUAGUAGUC